rnacentral:rRNA from 1 species
GGUUAAGUUAAUAAGGGCGCACGGUGGAUGCCUUGGCACUAGAAGCCGAUGAAGGACGUGACAAACGACGAAAUGCUUUGGGGAGUUGUAAGUAAGCGAAGAUCCAGAGAUGUCCGAAUGGGGGAACCCACUAACUAAUGGUUAGUAUCCAUAUCUGUUAAGGAUAUGAGAAGGAAGACGCAGUGAACUGAAACAUCUAAGUAGCUGCAGGAAGAGAAAGCAAACGCGAUUGCCUUAGUAGCGGCGAGCGAAACGGCAGGAGGGCAAACCGAGGGGUUUACUCCUCGGGGUUGUAGGACUGCGAUAUGGGACUUAUAAAUGAUAGAAGAAUUACCUGGGAAGGUAAGCCAGAGAGAGUAAAAGCCUCGUACUUGAAAUGAUUUAUAGCCCUAGCAGUAUCCUGAGUACGGCGAGACACGUGAAAUCUCGUCGGAAUCUGGGAGGACCAUCUCCCAACCCUAAAUACUCUCUAGUGACCGAUAGUGAACCAGUACCGUGAGGGAAAGGUGAAAAGCACCCCGGGAGGGGAGUGAAAUAGAACCUGAAACCGUGUGCCUACAAGAAGUUCGAGCCCGUUAAUGGGUGAGAGCGUGCCUUUUGUAGAAUGAACCGGCGAGUUACGCUAUGAUGCGAGGUUAAGUUGAAGAGACGGAGCCGUAGGGAAACCGAGUCUUAAAAGGGCGCUUUAGUAUCAUGGUGUAGACCCGAAACCAUGU